GGGCUGCAGUCCAUGGCGUCACGAAGAGUCGGACACAACUAAGCGACUCAACUGAACUGAAAGGUGAUAAAAUAGCAAUAUGGACUACUGAAUGUGAAAACAAGAGAAACUGCUACACCUAUCGGGAGGGUAUACGAGGAAAGGUUAGGACUUCCUCCAAAGAUAGUGAUUUGGUAUCAGUCCCAUGCAGACACAGCUACUAAGAGCAGCUCCACCACUAAAAAUUGGUUUGUUGUUUAAGAAGACAGUCUCUGGGGCCUAACAUGGCGGCCAGCCGCUACCGGCGGUUUCUUAAUCUGUGUGUGGAAUGGCCAGUGGACGAGAGCAAACGGGGCCGGGACUUGGGCGCUUAUCUGCCGCAGCGGGUAGCAGGCCUUUCGGGAGGGAGAAACACCCAGACUGCAGAGCCUGAGGCCUGUGAUCAGAGGUACGAGAGCUUGGCACGGCUGCACUCAAACUACUACAAACACAAGUACCCUCGCCCCAGAGACACACGCUUCAGCGGCCUGUCCCUGGAAGAGUACAAGCUGAUCCUGUCCUCAGACACGUCGGAUGAGUUUAAGGAGAUGAAUAAAGGCACGUGGAAGAAGCUGCAGGAGAAGUUUUCCCCCGGGAACCCCACGGAAAAGCACAAAGCCUGGGCUCAGGCCCUGUGGCGCCCGCGCACCUAAGCGCGGCGUCGUGUAUGUUGCCAUCAUCAAUAAAAUGCCCUGAUUUCCCCCCCUCCCAAAAAAAGAAGACACUCUCUGAGUAUUCUCAUAGGCGACUGCCUCAAGCAAUCGAGAUUUGGAGGCUGAACAAAAGCCUCUUCAAAAGCAGAAUGGGCUGCAUUUAAAUUUGAGUUCCAUCUAAAUGUUGCUAAGAUAUAAGGAAGUCUCAUUAGCCUUUGUCUUGUACUUCUGUAUUCAUAUUUUCUUUUUUUUUUGGCUAGAGUGUCCAUUAUCCCAAUCAAAGGAUUACAGUACACAUCAUAUCAUCCCCAGAAUCCAUACAUGUGUUCCUGGCCCACUCUGUAACAGCUUAGUAGAAUUAACCAUUACAAAAACAUUUGACCCAUCUACAAUAUUAAAAAAAAAGAACUUGCAUUUCUAUACAAGAGAAUGAUUUUGUUUACGUUCCAUUGUAUGAGGGAGGAUAUUUUACUGCUUUGAAAGAGUAUGAUGCAUAGUUUUCUGGCAAUUUUCUUUGUUUCUUUUUACAGCAUUAUCUAUGCUGUACUCUUGCUGAUGGCUGCUAGAUUUUUUUUCCCUACUUGAUAACAUUAGUGACUCUGAUUUCAGUUUUUCAUUUGUUUUGCUUUAGUUUUUCUUUCUCAUGUAACAUUGGUGAAGAAUCUAGGAAUAUGACAUAAAGGUAGAAUAAACAGUAAUUUUGUGCAUUCUUGGUAAUAUUUUUUUGUAACUUAACUACAAUGCUUUGCUACAAAUUUAUGCUUUUCAUUCAAAUCACUGAUCUAUGUUUGUGUGGUUUCCUAAACUUAAUUGUGUAUUAUAAAAAAUGUAGUAUCAUAAUUACAUUCCUAAUUAGAAUUAGUAUGUCUGGUUUUGUAUCUUUAUGCUGUAUUUUAACACUCUGUAUUACUUAGGUUAUUUUACUUUGGUUAAAAAAUUGGCUCAAAUAGAAAAGUGGUCCCACUCCUAUUAAGACAGUGUACAAAACUGUAAAUAAAAUGUGUACAGUGAAUUGUCUUUAAAAAAUAAAAUAAAAUAGUGAAACAGAA